UACGUAGGGUGCAAGCGUUAAUCGGAAUUACUGGGCGUAAAGCGUGCGCAGGCGGUGAUGUAAGACAGAUGUGAAAUCCCCGGGCCCAACCUGGGAACUGCAUUUGUGACUGCAUCGCUGGAGUGCGGCAGAGGGGGAUGGAAUUCCGCGUGUAGCAGUGAAAUGCGUAGAUAUGCGGAGGAACACCAAUGGCGAGGGCAAUCCCCUGGGCCUGCACUGACGCUCAUGCACGAAAGCGUGGGGAGCAAACAGG
rnacentral:rRNA from 1 species